UCUACAUUUUUCAUUUUUCAUCCAUCUUGUCCAUCUUUCACAAUAUUUUCCUUCGACUAUUUGCAUUAGUUGUUUAGAGUUCUUCUCUGCUAACUUUGGCAUCUGGGUCCUGAGCCAAUCUGCUGCCACCGGCUCCAUUACCUCUCAGCUAUUGCUCACAUUUUCGUAACUUUUCACAUGCCUGACAUUUAGGAAUAACUAGUAAAUAACUAGAGACUAUAGAUUACAAAUUUUCUUCCGGAGAGAACGCCUUUUUCUGUUGGUUGAGUGAAUCAGAGCAACGUGUUGCAGAAAGGAAGAGAGAAAAAACAGAAUGAAGAAGAGGCUUGAGGAAGAGAAUGGACAAAAUAUAAAGGAAAAGAGAACAAACUGUAGGAGAGAAGAGGCAAGAAGCAAUUUCUCAAUAUAAAAUAGAGAACUGACCCAAACUAUGACUUUCUACUCAUUAUAGAAUUCCACCUCUAUGGUAAGAACGUCAUGUUAUUUAGGUGUGUCUUACCUAAAUCUACCGAGUCACUGUUUUGCAGAGUAAAGGAAAUGUUAAAAAUGAA